rnacentral:rRNA from 1 species
GAUGAACGCUGGCGGCGUGCUUAACACAUGCAAGUCGAACGGUGAAGCAGGAGCUUGCUCUUGUGGAUCAGUGGCGAACGGGUGAGUAACACGUGAGCAACCUGCCCCUGACUCUGGGAUAAGCGCUGGAAACGGCGUCUAAUACUGGAUAUGUGAUGUGACCGCAUGGUCUGCAUCUGGAAAGAAUUUCGGUUGGGGAUGGGCUCGCGGCCUAUCAGCUUGUUGGUGAGGUAAUGGCUCACCAAGGCGUCGACGGGUAGCCGGCCUGAGAGGGUGACCGGCCACACUGGGACUGAGACACGGCCCAGACUCCUACGGGAGGCAGCAGUGGGGAAUAUUGCACAAUGGGCGGAAGCCUGAUGCAGCAACGCCGCGUGAGGGAUGACGGCCUUCGGGUUGUAAACCUCUUUUAGCAGGGAAGAAGCGAAAGUGACGGUACCUGCAGAAAAAGCACCGGCUAACUACGUGCCAGCAGCCGCCGUAACAC